rnacentral:lncRNA from 1 species
UUGAGGGUGGGGGGAAAAAAUUCCUUCAGUCACAUGAUGUAAGCCAUAUAUACAUUAUGCAAACAUUCAAUAAAAUAAAAAUUAGACCAAAAAAUGUUAAUUAUGAAAUUCGUAAUGGCACUAGCUGUCCAUGAAAAGGCAAGUGUGUUCAGAGACAAUGCUGGUGCUGGAAAAUAACAAAAAAUAGCACUUGACAAAGGAUUUACACCUUUUAUUUCACUCUUAUUUGUUGCUAGCACAUUAGUUUUUUUGAGCAAAUCACAGUCAUUAAAAUGAAAUACAAGGUUAAGCAAUUCAUGGUACAAAGAAAUUAAAACGAUUAAAAUAUGCUAAAGAGAAGCAAAUAAAGUCUACUUCAGAGUUUCCCAAUUUUCUAUUCUUGAAUUAUCCAUUCCAAUAUCAUUUGCUAAUCUUACACACUUCCUUGGAACCAGACCUUCCCCAGAUCAUCAAAGGAAAAAUGUACGAUAGCUUUCUUUGCUGAGUAUACUUCUUAAUCGGAGGACUUUUGUACAACGGGUUUCUUAUCUCAAGCGCAUACUUCUUAAUCAGAAGAUUAAAGCUCAAGCUAGUCCAAGAUGUGCUAUGAUAAGCAUCAAACUCUUUUAGUUCACCAAGAGAUCACAACGUUAAGGUUCCUAUGCAUGAUUCUCAGCCCAUAGCAGAAAGCAGUACGCUUGCAAAUUUAGUAUCAAGGCUCUUAACAAUUUUAAAUGAGAGAAGAAGAAGAAGAGAGAGAGAUAGGUCCUGUAGAAGGCUCCAGGUACAAUUUUAUAGUUUACCGUGCUAGAGCAUUCAGAUUUGACAAUAUAAUUAACUGGACAUUAUACUUCCUCCCAUUUCCUAGCUUCUAUGGAUUACUACAACUAUAGCACCAGCAAAGACUUGGUAAAAAAUAAAGACCAAAAUUUUUUUAACAAAUCAAGACAACAGAGUUUUCACCAGUGUCAUCACAAACAUCCUCGUCGAAGCCUUCUCAUUUUCCUAUCAUAUCUCUAACCAAAUAAGGGAUACUAAUAUCAGUAGUAAUUCCGCCUCACGAGUCAACAAUUUACAUCAAACACAUUGGAUUGAAUUUUUACUACAAAAACCCUUCAAGACACCAAUAUAUGACUUUCUACACCCUUACUAAAACAUGACUACCACCCAUCACCAAGUGAAAUAAGUAAAAAGUACUGCAUCAUCGGCCAUAAACAUUUUCUUUUACAUGCACAUGUACAGAGAUGUUAAUCUAUAGCCAUGCCAACUAUAGAGAACCAAUUUAGUAAUAAUUCUGAUUUCUUCAAUUGACUGUAUACACAAAACAUGUUGGAUUGACUUAAUAUAACACUACCAGCCUCGAGGUUUGAUCUAAUGAGACAUACCCUCUGUUAACAACACAUUCUAAAGUUUCUAGUAGCUGAUACAGAGAUUCAAAUUUACCCUCACUCUUCAAAACCCUGAUCACCCUUCCCUCCUCACCUCUAUUCUAAUCUGUGCUGCCCCCAUAAUUUUUGUUCACCAUCCAUCUUUACCACAACAUCUAUAAUCAGAAUCUACAUUAAUCGUAACAAUUAGUUCGGUCAAGCCUAUUAAUCACAACAGCGAUUACCCACCGUGCCCCUUCCACCAUUACCCACUGUCAGAUCUCCAUUAACAAGCCCCCCUUCCACCACCUUCGCCCUUCUGCGCUCCGCCCAACUUAUUUUACUCCCAAAAAGAAGAUAAAGAAGAAGAAGAAGAAAAUAGAAAAAUACCAAUAUUUUUUACUCUUAUCCUCUCUAAUCUUGUAACCCACAGCACGAUUAAUACUUAAUUAAAAUUGGUGGCCAUGGUUAACUUAGUUGAUAUGAAGAGAGAGAUAACUAGUUAUGAACAUGAUCAAAGAGUUCCAUGAUUUAAGGUCCAAUUAAGAUAAUGGGGGCAAUGAGGUUGCUUCGGUGAUGCGGUGACAUGUCAUUCUAAAUGAUGAGAUAUUUAUCAAAACCUUAGAAAGGAAAAGAAAAAGAAUUCUGCACACGGAUAAAGGUUGAAAAAGUCUAUUAGCGGCCACGUGGCAGCACAGAGCUGUUAAAAAAUAAUAAUAACAAUAACAAUAAUAUUUCAGAGGGGUUUUUAAUUAUGAUGUCAUCAGUUUCUGCUGCCUCACAAAUGGCCAAUUAACAGUAAGGGGCAACUUAUAAGCCUCUUAAAAAAAGGGCAAUUUCUAGAACAUAGGGCACUAUGAGUAACUAGGAUGAAGUAUCAGCCAAAGGGUUAUAUAUGUAAAAUCACAGCAGGAGCGCUGUGCAAAACUACCCAACAUAUGCACGCAUACUGACCCAAACCAUCCUACCUAGUAUAUCAACAUGUCUUCAACCAUGUCAUUUAUUAUGUUGUCGUAUAUAUUAGAGUUUAAAACUAUUUGCCAAAUAAAUAAUAGUCCAGAUUCAAUGUGCAUAUAAUAUUCAAAUAUCCAUACACGUUGCAAUGCAGAAUAGGGUAACUAUAAGUCCGGAAAAGGGCAAACAGACAACAUUAAUGGAACCCAGUUAAAAAAUGCAUGCAUCAAAAGCCAGCGGAAACUUACCAUGAUUAGGAUAGAACCUUCUACGGUCAUUAGGGCAUGGCACAAAAAGAGCGUUUUGUGGAUUAAAUAAAGCUUGGCAUACCAAGAAAAACCAUUCCCUUAAAACACCUGGACCAGUAGCUUCUUCAUUUUUGAAUUCCAUAAAUAAACCACCACGCAGUGCCUCUGGCUCCGCACGUGCUAUGUACUCAAAUGAUUCUGCCAACAACUGAGACCUAUCAAUAAGCAUCUCAUGCAGCUCCUCAUAGUCUUCCUUUACAUCGGGAAACAUCAUCAUGACCAGAUACUUCCUGGAAUCAAAAGUAGUCACGUCCUUAUGCUCAAGAAGCCACCUAUUAUCAUCACUUCUCCUUGCAUAUCUAAGAAUCAGAUCACCCAAUGGCGAUUUUCUAUUCCUCAGAAGUUUCCAGAACUCUUCUUCAGCGCCCUGAAAGAGUUUAGAUGUGGCAUGUAAUUCUCUCAAAAUCGUCAGAUACUGCGACCAUCCAGAAUAAUUAAUUUCACCUUCCCCAUUUGCUCUCGCAAUCACGCGUUCCUGCACUCUAACGAGGCAUUUAUCCAUUUUUAUCAACAAAUCACAGAACAUUCCAUAAAUAGAAUCCAGCUGAUCCCCAUGCAACCGAUCAUGUUCCUGCUGCGGCAAAGGAAUUGUAAUCGGAAUGGAAAACCCCACUUGACCCAAAAUCGCCCUGCGCAGAGGGUGCAAGAACGCGGUAAAAUCACGAACAUCGCUGACCAAUGGCCCCACGCUCAGCACCAUCUCCAUACUGGAAUUCAAAUCCCUAGAUAUCCUAGCAGCCAACUCACGAACAAAAGGAAAUAUCUCCCGUAUCACAUCCAAACCCCUAAUCUCAUCAUAUUUGGAGCCUCCUGGCAAAAUGCCAGAGCCACCAUAAUUCUCCAGCAAGGAACCCAAAGUACUCCGGCAAGCUAAAUAUAAAGUGUCCUCGGGGGUAAACUUCCUAAGCAGUUUACAAAACUCUAAGACGAUGGGGGCGGACUGAGCAUGCAAGUGCUUAGGUAAAGCGUUUUUAGUGGAGUUCAAAAAAUGUCUAAUUGAACUAUCAGCGCAAUCUUUGUUACCAUGGAGAGGAGAAAUGUAGAGCAUUACCAAAGCAGCGGGAGCGGAUGAUGACAUGAGAAUUUGGAUGUGAUCAAGUGCAGAUUCAGAUUCAACUUCAUCUUUAGGAGUCAUGGUAAAAAACUCAGUCAUUCUAGAUUUGAUGUGUUUUAAAGAAUGAGGUAGCGUUUCACCUUUGCAUAAGCGGCAAAUAAGGGAAACCAUGUCGUCAAUGACUUGCCAGGCUUGAGGAUGUCCCGUGCUUCGCAUGCGGCCAACCAGUUGCAGGCCGGCGUCGUUUUGGAUGCAACACUCAGCUAAGGACUGUUCCCACUGUAACUGCUUCCCCCGGUAAAUUAACCGUUGCUCGAUCAACGGUAUCCCCGUCAUCGCUUGGAUUCUUUCAUGGAUUGAUUUGACGGUGUCGUUCGAGUCGGCUUGGAUGACCAUCGUCUUCCCCUCAGACAUCAUGCGUAUAAAAAACUGGAGCCUUGGCCGAGGAGGAGGAGGAGCAGCGGCAGCGGCAGGAGGAGUAAUUUCUGAGAGUACGGCGUCGUUUUUUGUCAUCAAGUCUGACGACUGGUGGUGGUGGACGGCGUCAGGUUCGUCUUUCCGCAUUCUUACAGAAACAAGGUCGGAUGUUUCUGCGCCGUCGUCAUCGUCGCCGUCUAAGUUAGGGGCAAAAUCGUCCAACUUACGUUUCGGACGCGAGUGAACGGAGAAGUGAGAGUGAUCAAACGAUUCAACAGGAGACAUUGAAGAGUGGGGCCCCCGCCGCUUACGGUGGGGGUAAGAGCAUGUGAUCGUUAAAUGCCGCGGCAGCAGCUGAAGGAGAAGAUAACUAUUAAAUUGAAAACUCCAAAAAUAGAAAUUAGAAAAACAAGAACCCUAGCAGCUAAUAAGUAGUAAAGCAGUUUUCAUUUUUAUUUUUUCUUUUUUUUGGCUCGGUCAGUGAGUCUGUAUCAGUCUUUGUUUAUAUAGUAAAUUUGAGGGAAAAAAAAAGGAAAAAGAAAAUAGAUGGUAUUAUGAUUUGUUUGUUCUUGAUGAACACGAAGAGCGAUUGGGAGUGAAAUUGAUGAGAAUUUUUAGCUGUGAGACUUACACAUACCCCUUCACAACACCACAGCCGUCACCACCGAACACUGGCAUCUUACGCUAUUAUAAUUAUUUUAUUCCAAUUUUUAUAACUAAAUUAAACCCAAAAAAAAUAAAAAAAUAAAAAGUUUACAGCCCUCAGCCCUGCUUCUGUGUGUGCGCGCUCACAUCACAUGAGAUUCUCGUGACACUCCCACGCCAUGCAUUUUAACCACGUGUUUGAAAUCGCUUUUAUGGGGAAAAGAUUUUAUGGGAGAUUCCUUCUUUAUUAGCCGGAUCAUCAAUCGAUUUCAAUUAAACAAACAUUCUAAACCUGCUCCUUAAGUUUUCUUAAUUAAAGGAUGAGCGCUUAACUUCUAUUGAUUUUAUUAUUUUAGAAUAAAUUACUACCUUUUUUUUGAAUGAAUUUUAUAUUUUUAAGGCUAUAAGUCUAGUGUGACUCUUAAUUUAUUUUUAUUUUUUCUCUCUACAUGCAAACGGAAAAAAAAAAAAAAAAAACUGUAAUCUGUUACGGUUUUGAAGUAAAAUAUAAUAUGUUCAUAGUUGAAAUGUUCAAACCAUGAGGAAACUAAUGUCAAUAUCUUUCAUCUUCUAUGGAGUACUUUAUCAUAUGGUCUCGGAAUGAGUCCUAAAGGAAUUUAUAUUUGUAAAUUCUUUUUAUUUUUUGUAGCAAUCGAAUUAUUUUGGAUGUUAUCCGAUAGUGUGAAAAGGAUUAUCGUGUGACAUGAGAUCGACAGCUUUGCAAGUCAACUCACAACUCACAAACAAUUGGCCAAUUUCGAUUUGGAAACUUACUAUUCUAGUUCCCAAAUUGAGUCAUGAUGAUGGCUAUAUAUUAAUACGAUCAUCGAUCGAUGUUGAUAAAAUCUUGAUUGAUGAUUUCGGCCCCGUAAUUUAUACAGCUGAGUCAGUCAACUGACAAUGAAUGAAAUUGUCGAUGGAUGAUUGACGACCCCUAUAUUAUAUGCAUUGCUUUUAAUUUUUAUGUAUGGGAAAAUCCAAAUCCAACCACGCUCGUGACGCGUGCCGCGUGCGAAUAUUUCGGUUCAUUUUCCGUAAAUAUCCGCCGACUUUUGUACAUAUACAUAGUAGUAAUUAAUAAAGGUGGGAGAAAAUUACGAUUAAAACUUUUAAUCGGUUGUUUACACCACGGAUCGAUUAGAUUAAUUAAUUGGAUUUUUCAGAUAUGCGAUUUAUAUUAAUACUUGCUUAUCCGUCCAGUUGGUUUUCGGUGAGUGACUAUCCUUCAUUGACAUUCCAUUCCAUUCCAUGUAAGUACUCAAAACAACAAACAAAACUGUCAAUUUUUGAAUAGAGGAGACAAAUGGGCCGGUAUGUGAUUAGCUCGGCCCUUAUCUGGGGCCCUACGUACUUAGGCCCGCAACCUAAGAAUUUAAAACACAAGGAGAAGAUGAAGCAGAAGAUGGCGGCUUUUCAUUUCAGUUGUGAUUUUCUGAGAGUGGUAUUUAAGCAGCACUACAGUGAAUCAUUGAUGGCGAAAUUGGAGCGGCGUCACUCACCAAGAUAUAACGGUAUAUAAAGCCAAUAUAUAUAUAUAUAUAUAUAGAUCAUCAUCAUCGUUAUUUGUGCUUUGUUUAUUAUUAUCAACAGAAACAAACAACUGUAAAAAUUUAAUUCAAAAACUUAAAUUUACUAGCUAUAUUACUUACUAAGUAGCAACGACGGGAGAAUAUUAUUACGGUGAAACCAAGCUUUCAACAAAGGUGGUAACAGAAAACCAUCUUGGGGCUCUUUGGAUUUUGAAAUCCGUAGCAAUCUCAUUCUCAAAAUCAUACAAAAUCAACUCACCAUCCCCCUUCUCAAUGAGUAGAAAAUUCUUGCCAUUGCCAUUACUCAAAUUAAUCAUCUCACAGACAGGCUUCAAGUGCACAAAAGCAUAAUUAUCAAAAUUAAUCAAAGCUCGACGUCCGAUCACAAACAUCCUCGUCCAAGACUCCCUCGCACCAAAAUCCUUCAUCGUCCAAAUCUCAACUCUAUCCUCUCUCCACAUAUGAAACAUGGCAAAUUCUCCGCGAAACACACCCACUUCAAUCUGACACUUGUCAUGAGAAUCCUUGUAUUCCGGGCGGUGAAUCUCCUUGAACUCUUCUCUGUUCAUGUCAAAAGCAACAACGAGAACAGUCAUCCCUCUUCCGAGCCCUCGCGACGCUUUCCAUAUAAGACAUUCAUUGAAGCACACCGCAGCUCGAGAGCUGAUAUGAUAUGGGAUGCCUCCAUUAAUCUUCUUCCAUUUAUCGCUAGCCAGAGAAUAAACCCUAGCUUCGCAUUCAUAGGAGUCGAUGUCAACAAAAGGCUUGUCAUAAAGGUAUAUGGAUCUUAUCACCUUGUAAUCAUCCUCUGCUUGAUGGUAACCAAACCCCAAUGAAGUGAAACAUGUAGUUUCGAUUGUGGGAACAUCAAAUUCUGGCACUGGAAGCUUUUUGUAGUUUUUUGUUGAGGGAUUGAAAAGAAAUAUAUCUUCAUUGCAGCUUUGAUCGGAGAUGCAAAGCAGGCCAUUGCAAGAACCUGAAAUCUCAACUUUUUCGAGAGACAAGGCGAAGGGUACUUGGAGUUUUCGAGCUCUGAUUAAUUUUUUAUCAUUGAUUAUCUCGACACCAAAAAGCUUGAAUUCAUUCUUCAGGAUGAGUUUUGGGUCGGACUGAUGAAUUGCUCUGUUGACAUGUUUCUUAAUGAAUAUUUUAUUGUGAACAAGUGCAUACAUGGAUUUUGACACACAUUUGAAUCGAAUAAGAGACUUGACGGGGAGUCUAGUGAAGAUAUCGGUGAUUAUAUCGGUAGGUAAAUUAGCUGAGACAUGAGGGAAAGUUGAAAGAUUGGUGGUUAUAGCACUCGACAGGCUACCCAUUUCGGCGUUUCUUUAAUUUUGCUGAGCCAUUUCUCAUCGGAAACUAUAUACAUAUAUACAGGCAAUUAGAGUUUUGGGCUGUACAAUACUAAUGAGAUAUGUACAGGUGGCUUUUGGUGUAUAUUUAAUUGAAAAUCUGGGAUAUAUGAAGUGAAAUGAAGAAUAUCUAGAAAGAUUUGGUUACGGUGAAUCCAAGAUUUAAAGUCAUUAAUGAGGAUAGUGACAGUUAUCCACUAGAAAGCAAUGAUUGGGAGUCCCUCCUUUCCACACCCUUUUAAGUUUUACCAUUUUAACAACCUUUUUUUGUUUACUUAGUCAGUUUUACAAAUCUUGAUUUUAAUGAUAACCAAUAAUGUGGUAAGGAUAAUAUGGAAAAAUCACUUUUGAAACUCAUUAGUUAUUGAAAAUAAAAAAAUCAUUCAAUUGAGAUCAAGCGCAAAGAACUUACAGACAUAUUCAUCAAAUGUGAAAAAUAUUAGCUUAAAUAAUGUUUCAUUUUUAUAAUCCUCGAAAAGUUAGUUUGUUGGAUUUAUUCAUGGUCAUGCAUUUGAAAGCUCAAACUUAUUAUGAUCAUGACAUUCAAAUUAAUAUUUAAUCAUGGUCAUACUUCCUCCCAUUUCCUAGCUUCUAUGGAUUACUACAACUAUAGCACCAGCAAAGACUUGGUAAAAAAUAAAGACCAUAAUUUUUUUAACAAAUCAAGACAACAGAGUUUUCACCAGUGUCAUCACAAACAUCCUAGUCGAAGCCUUCUCAUUUUCCUAUCAUAUCUCUAACCAAAUAAGGGAUACUAAUAUCAGUAGUAAUUCUGCCUCACGAGUCAACAAUUUACAUCAAACACAUUGGAUUGAAUUUUUAUUACAAAAACCCUUCAAGACACCAAUAUAUGACUUUCUACACCCUUUACUAAAACAUGACUACCACCCAUCACCAAGUGAAAUAAGUAAAAAGUACUGCAUCAUCGGCCAUAAACAUUUUCUUUUACAUGCACAUGUACAGAGAUGUUAAUCUGUAGCCAUGCCAACUAUAGAGAACCAAUUUAGUAAUAAUUCUGAUUUCUUCAAUUGACUAUAUACACAAAACAUGUUGGAUUGACUUAAUAUAACACUACCAGCCUCGAGGUUUGAUCUAAUGAGACGUACCCUCUGUUAACAACACAUUCUAAAGUUUCUAGUAGCUGAUACAGAGAUUCAAAUUUACCCUCACUCUUCAAAACCCUGAUCACCCUUCCCUCCUCACCUCUAUUCUAAUCUGUGCUGCCCCCAUAAUUUUUGUUCACCAUCCAUCUUUACCACAACAUCUAUAAUCAGAGUCUACAUUAAUCGUAACAAUUAGUUCGGUCAAGCCUAUUAAUCACAACAGCGAUUACCCACCGUGCCCCUUCCACCAUUACCCACUGUCAGAUCUCCAUUAACAAGCCCCCCUUCCACCACCUUCGCCCUUCUUCCCUACCCCCAACUUAUUUCACUCCCAAAAAAGAAGAUAAAGAAGAAGAAGAAGAAAAUAGAAAAAUACCAAUAUUUUUUACUCUUAUCCUCUCUAAUCUUGUAACCCACAGCACGAUUAAUACUUAAUUAAAAUUGGUGGCCAUGGCUAACUUAGUUGAUGCUGAUUGAUAUGAAGAGAGAGAUAACUAGUUAUGAACAUGAUCAAAGAGUUCCAUGAUUUAAGGUCCAAUUAAGAUAAUGGGGGCAAUGAGGUUGCUUCGGUGAUGCGGUGACAUGUCAUUCUAAAUGAUGAGAUAUUUAUCAAAACCUUAGAAAGGAAAAGAAAAAGAAUUCUGCACACAGAUAAAGGUUGAAAAAUUCUAUUAGCGGCCACGUGGCAGCACAGAGCUGUUAAAAAAUAAUAAUAACAAUAACAAUAAUAUUUCAGAGGGGUAUUUGAUUAUGAUGUCAUGAGUUUCUGCUGCCUCACAAAUGGCCAAUUAACAGUAAGGGGCAACUUAUAAGCCUCUUAAAAAAAGGGCAACUUAUAAGAAUCUUAAAGUCAGAGUUAAGUGCAAUUUCUAGAACAUAGGGCACUAUGAGUAACUAGGAUGAAAUAUCAGCCAAAGAGCUAUAUAUGUAAAAUCACAGCAGGAGCGCUGUGUAAAACUACCCAACAUAUGCACGCAUACUGACCCAAACCAUCCUACCUAGUAUAUCAACAUGUCUUCAACCAUGUCAUUUAUUAUGUUGUCGUAUCUAUUAGAGUUUAAAACUAUUUGCCAAAUAAAUAAUAGUCCAGAUUCAAUGUGCAUAUAAUAUUCAAAUAUCCAUACAGGUUACAAUGCAGAAUAGGGUAACUAUAAGUCCGGAAAAGGGCAAACAGACAACAUUAAUGGAACCCAGUUAAAAAAUGCAUGCAUCAAAAGCCAGCGGAAACUUACCAUGAUUAGGAUAGAACCUUCUACGGUCAUUAGGGCAUGGCACAAAAAGAGCAUUUUGUGGAUUAAAUAAAGCUUGGCAUACCAAGAAAAACCAUUCCCUUAAAACACCGGGACCAGUAGCUUCCUCAUUUUUGAAUUCCAUAAAUAAACCACCACGCAGUGCCUCUGGUUCCGCACGUGCUAUUUAC